UCAAGGUCAUGGCUCUUAGCAUCAUUGUUGAGAACUCCCAGUUUCUCUCCCAGGUGCUUCUGCCCUCUCCAGGUUUUUGUCCCUUCCUCUGUCUCCUCCUCCACACAGAAGAGAAUGGGAACUUCUCAGGGGAUGGUGAGAGAGAAACAGUAACUGCUGACCCUGGUAGUGACUUGAAGACGGACUGAUUCUCCUCCCUGCUCCAUUUCCAGAAGCCAUGAUCCAGCUGUGAAGGCCCAGUCACUCCAACUACGUGGGCCGCUGAAAAUCCAGUUUCAACCUGCUUCUCUUUCCCUCUCUUCUCCAGUUCAACCCCAUCCUUCAAAAACUCACCUAAUUCCUCUGGGAAUUAGUCUCUUCCCCCAGGGUCACCAAUUCUGCUUGCUAAUCUCCUGCACCCCUCUGAUCCCCUUCUUGCUUUCCUUCCUCCUACCCAGGCUUUCCUGGCAAAGGCCAACAAAAUAACAAAGACUAGGGAAUAAGUAAACAGCAGCCUCCCCUCGCUUGGGAGUCCCUGGAAGCGCUUCCUUCAUUCACACCGAUGAGCCUCGGGAUUUCAAAGUGCCUGGCACUGCUUCAAGGCCAGUUACAGCGGCCACGGAGUCAUUGUAUUGAGAUGAAGGUGGAUCCAGGCGGUUUCUAUUUUUAGGUUCGAUUGUUUCUGGAAAAGGUUGCACAUCACAUAAUAGGAAAUCCCAAGAGUGUGAAGACUGUUUCCUGCCAGUGGAAGCCUUGUUGUGGUUGGCUGUUCUGACCAUAGAGACACUGAGAAAAAUCUCAGGAUUAACAGUUGAGGCCCAUCAUCAAGGUAACUCCACCUGAAAUUCUCUUUUCACUCCGGGAUCCCCAAGACCUGGGGAUUCGCAAGCCUUCUGAUAGCCAACCUUGCUGACCCAAGGUUCCCAGAAGUACUUUCCACCCUGCAGAAUCCUGACGUGAAUAGCUACACUUGAAAGAAAAUAGCAGUCCUCACUCCUGCCGUUGAGACCCUGUUGACUGACUGGGCUGGCUUGGUCAGAUUAUCUUUGUCUCAGCAGAUUUUCACUUGGCCAACAGACACCAUCAAGGAAUCACCUAAGGACUGCAAACUGCACUAGAAGCCGUUACAGAAGAGAGUGUGUUAUCCUUUGCCACUGCACCUCCUCCAGCUUCCGUUCCACUCUCUACCCCACACACAGGCUGAAACUCUAAGUCAAAAGGAAACUUCCUGGCAUAGGGAACAAAAUGGAUAUCUAUAAUGCCAAUUGACAUACCCGAAAAGUGGGCCCAGAUUUGUCAACUGGUAGGUCCAUUAAUGAAAAUAGUCCUACCAUAUAAUAGGAUACUUGCCCUGCUUUAUGCAGAAU
rnacentral:lncRNA from 1 species